rnacentral:rRNA from 1 species
UACGAAGGGGGCUAGCGUUGCUCGGAUUGACUGGGCGUAAAGGGCGCGUAGGCGGUUCGUACAGUCAGACGUGAAAUUCCUGGGCUCAACCUGGGGGCUGCGUUUGAUACGUGCGGACUUGAGUGCGGAAGAGGGUCGUGGAAUUCCCAGUGUAGAGGUGAAAAUUCGUAGAUAUUGGGAAGAACACCGGUGGCGAAGGCGGCGACCUGGUCCGAUACUGACGCUGAGGCGCGAAAGCGUGGGGAGCAAACGGG